CCAGUGCUCUGAAUGUCAAAGUGA
rnacentral:ncRNA from 4 species